CGGCAAACGGCGUAGUAAUGCGUAGGUACGUACCCUCAGAUCGGGAAUAGCCAUGGGAAACCGUGGGUAAUGCCCGAUAAUGUCUGUGGACCAAAGGUGAGAUUCCGUCUGAGGAGCGGCUUACGUGAUAUUAGCUUGCUGGUGGGGUAACGGCCUACCAGGGCGACGAUGUCUAGGGGGUGUGAGAGCAUGGCCCCCACGACCGGAACUGAGACACUGUCCGGACACCUACGGGUGGCUGCAGUCGAGAAUCUUCCGCAAUGGACGAAAGUCUGACGGAGCGACGCCGCGUGCGGGAUGAAGGCCCUUGGGUUGUAAACCGCUGUCAGAGGGGAUGAAAUCAUGGUAGGCCAUCCUUCCAUGUUGACAGAGCCUCAGAGGAAGCACGGGCUAAGUACGUGCCAGCAGCCGCGGUAAC
rnacentral:rRNA from 1 species